AAUUAAGACAAAACAAAAAAAGACAUUAGUUUUUCUUUCCCAACUCACUAGUUUCAGAACUUAGCAUGUUCUUCCUAAACAUUCCAAGUCUAUGAAGUAUAUCUCUGAAGUACAUCAACCACCCAUCAGAAAUAAUGUGAAUCUAAAGUUCUUUCAUAAAUAUUUUGAUCCACUAACAAAAAUUAUCCUCAGAAUAAAACAGUAUGAAACUAUUUUAACAGAGAAUACAACAAAUACUAGUUUAUUAAUAUUUCACUAAAUUUGUGAAUACAAGGAAAUCAACAAUUUGUGAAACAUCUGAUAGUAUCCUUAAACAUUAUCUUGCUAUUUACUUACAUACAUUUGAUAAGCUUGUUUAUGUAAACACAAAUAAUCACCUAUAAUAAAGGCACAUAUUAUUAACCCGGGAGGGGGAAUUUUAAACGUAAAAAUACUUUCAGAUGGAAUUUUACAUCAUAAAUUCAAAUCACAGCUUCAAGCAAAUGUCUGCAAAUAGAUCGCAAUUUUUCAUACCAGAAAUGCUUUGCGCCAUGUGUCUUCAAUGCACACGGCUCCUCCAGCUCCCUACACCGCAGGGCCACUAGAACCAGUCAUGACACCUGGAUUCUACCAGCUCAGUGAUGACUUCACAGUCACAACCAAAGCAAACUGCCAGGUUUUUUCUUGUUUUUUUCACACCAGAGCCCUUUUCUUAAGGAAAAAAUUCUAAAUUACAGAAAUGGGCAUCAGAUAGAGCAAGUACACUGUACAAUUCAUCACUGUGUUAUUAACAAGUUCUUCACUAUAAAGUAUUAAGCUGAAUUAGAAAAGCCCCAUCAACAUGCAUUUUAAAUGUCAGCUUUGUAAGACAACAGCCUUCUUCUGGUGUACAGUAGCUCACUGUUAAGAAUUUAAUAAUCUGAAGAUAAAGAAACUUAAAUUUACCUAUCAGCACUGCAUUUCAUAAUUUUCUUUUAGCAAUUUUUUAAAGUCUAGAUUUUGAAAAGAUUUGCCUCCUCCAUUGUCUAUGUCCAAGGCAUUUAAUCUUUUUGAACUCCUUCAGAAUCUACCGAAAGUUACACAAGCUCUCCCACAAAACAGCAUAUAUUUAAGUGCUCAUAAAAAUGUGCACAUUAUCUCAGACUGUUCGGACAACACCUCACUGCCAGGUUUAAAAAAAAAAAUCCUGGCUACACCACAGUAGCUACCAGGAGGAAAAAAUAAACUUAAUGUGUUCACUGCUUACAUAAGUAACACAAAAGGCAUACAACUUAAUAUACUGGACAACCAUGGAAAAUCAAACACUAGUAAGUACGGAGAAGUCGUUUGAUAACACUACUGACUUCUGCAGUGAAUAAAGGAUUAAAAACAUACAAAGUCCCCACGCUGGAAGCACAUUAGACCAUUACUGGGGAGAGAAGUAGGAGCAAAGAGUAGCAGAGAAAAAAAAUUGUCAAAUUUUAUUUGAAGGUUAGGCUCUAAAAUCAAAUAACAAGGUAAACAUAACAGUCAAAAUUAUCUUUAAAUUCAAAUCCCUCACACAGACAUCACUGUGAAGACACAAAUUCUUUCUCCUAAGUCCAACUCAGACAAUAUUCCUUACAGGAUUGAUAAUUUGCUUUUUUGCCUAACCACCAAAUGAACUAGUUAAUACAAAGUCAUGCUGCAACAAAAAUACCUAUCUUUGAACUCUAGAAUGUGCUCUCAGCCUGGUGAAACGCUCACAUCUGAAACCAAUACCAGACUCAAUCUCCUGUUCAACUCAGUGGAAUAAUGGGCCGAGGUGCCCGUUACUUAUUUUCUCUUUCGCAGUUCCAAGUCAUUCCAUUCACCUAAAUUAAUUACAACUCCUCGUUAGGUAGAUGAGCUGUUACAGUUUACACUUAGUAAGGAAUACAUCAAUGAUCAUGGCAUAAUUCGUCUGACUGUGCUCUCUGCUAAGCAGUAAAGUUAGAUGGACAGGUUUGGUGUAGGAUGGGCUUUUUUUUAAGACUGUCUCAAAAAAAAAGACUGUCUCAAAAAACACACACACAAAAAAACAAAAAAACCCUCUGACCAGGCUGGAGUGCAGUGGUGCGACCAUGCCAAACUCCUGGGCUCAAGGGAUCCUCCCAUCUCAGUCUCUUGAAUAUCUGGUACUAUAGGCAUGCACCAGCAUGCCUGGAUAAUUUUCACGUGUUGGUCACGUGAAGAUGACAGACGCUGAGCUUGUGUAUAACAUUCACCUGGCUGUCAAUUUCUUGGUGUCACUGCUCAAGAAAAACUGGCAGAAUGUCCGGGCCUUAUAUAUCAAGAGCACCACGGGCAAGCCCCAGCGCCUAUAUUAAGGCACAUUUGAAUAAAUUCUAUUACCACUCUUCUCUGUCUCUGAA